UACACUCCUGCGGGAGGCAGCAGUGGGGAAUAUUGCACAAUGGGCGCAAGCCUGAUGCAGCGACGCCGCGUGGGGGAUGAAGGCCUUCGGGUUGUAAACUCCUUUCGCUAGGGACGAAGCUUUUUUGUGACGGUACCUAGAUAAGAAGCACCGGCUAACUACGUGCCAGCAGCCGCGGUAAUACGUAGGGUGCGAGCGUUGUCCGGAAUUACUGGGCGUAAAGGGCUCGUAGGUGGUUUGUCGCGUCGUCUGUGAAAUUCUGGGGCUUAACUCCGGGCGUGCAGGCGAUACGGGCAUAACUUGAGUGCUGUAGGGGUAACUGGAAUUCCUGGUGUAGCGGUGAAAUGCGCAGAUAUCAGGAGGAACACCGAUGGCGAAGGCAGGUUACUGGGCAGUUACUGACGCUGAGGAGCGAAAGCAUGGGUAGCGAACAGGAUUAGAAACCCCUGUAGUCCC
rnacentral:rRNA from 1 species